AGAUGUGUAGAGAGCAAAUAUUUUCUCCCAUUCUGUUGAUCGCUAGGGUUGAUUCGGCUUAUCUGGCUGGCUAGGCAGGUGUCCCCUUCCUCCCUCACUGCUCCAUGUGUGUCCCUCCGGAAGCUGCACACUUGGUCGAAGAGAAUGACCUUCCCCAGUAGAGGAGGACCGCUCUUCGAUCAAGGGUAUAGCUGUGCUCCCCUGCUAGAACCUCCAAACAAGCUCUCAAGUCUUGUUGCUGAUGGUUAUCUCGAAAUGGUUAAUGGGCCAUCUGGUGAUUUGAAAGGUGACAGCUAGAU
rnacentral:snRNA from 1 species